rnacentral:lncRNA from 1 species
UCCCGCCUGGCUCUCGCCUCGGCCUGCGGCCGGGAUCCUCCGCCCGGGUCGCGCAGCGGAGGCCGAGGGCUGGGACGGGCGGCUGGGAAGUGGGAAAGGGAGCUCCUUUUGUCUUCUCUUCCCAUCCCCCAGGUUUGGGAAAGUUUUCCUUUUGGGAAAGCCCCUCUCUUCAGCCUGCUGGCGGGUGUCGGAUUGGUUAGCGACCACCGGCCCCCGCCUCCCCCAACAGGAUUCUCCUUUGGGCCACAGGUCUUCCGGAAGUUGCCAAACCCCGGUAGCGGCAGCGUCCGGCUGGGGGCUUUAUUAGGGGGCACCGGGGUCUGCUUUCCGACUCCCUUCCGACUCCGCGCCUGCGCAGGAAGCGAUUUGGGGAGUGUUGUGAAUUCCGAGGGCUCCACACUUAAGAGGUUGUACACUCACCUGUCUACCUGGACUCCAAUUUCCAUAUUUCCAGCCACUUGAGGACUGAGAGGUGGAUGAUAAACCCUGUCAUAGUGGAGCAAGUUCAGGUGUUUAACCGCUGUUAUGGGGGAUCUGCCUUUUCUCCCUCUUCUUUCUUACUUCCAUAAGUAUGUAUGUGCAGAGAUUGAAAAAUAACCUUGAGAGAGUCCAUCCAUCUAACUCCAGUUCAUUGGAAAUUUCUGCUUCUUUGAGACUGAGGUUAUAUUCCACUUCUUCUGACUACACCACCACCAUCAAUCUCCUUCUCUGAACUCUUGGAUCAUUACUUCAACCUGAAACAACUCAUCAGGCAGAAUAGUUGCCUACUGCCCCAACCCCACCAAAUGUUCCAGCACCUCUGAUAUUACCUCACAUGGCAAGAGGGCUUUGAAGAUGUGAUUGAGUCAAGGAUCUUGAAUGGGGAGAUUAUCCUGAAUUAUUCAGCUGGACCCAGUGUAAUCACAAAGGUUUUUCAAAGAUGGAAGAGAGGCAGAAGAGCCAGAAAAGGAUAUGUGACAAUGGAGUCAGUGUCAGAGUUGGAGUGACGUGAUGUGAGAAGGAUUCAACCUGCUGUUUCUGGCUUUGAGGAUGAAAGAAGGGGCCAUGAGCCAAGCAAUACAGGUGGCUUCUUUCAAGAAGUUGGAAAAGAAGAGAAAAUAGUGCCAAUAAUUCUUCAUGGAGAUGCACCUCUCUCAAGUCUUGAACAAUGUUUGAGGAAAAGUGCUUUCAGCUGGGCUGAUGAGAACACCUUGGCACUCUUUCCUGCAAUGGGCACUGAUUGAGGGUCUUCCUGGUGUGGCAUCAUCAAAUCCCUGUUGCUCAAACCCACUAAUUAGCUCAUUCUUAUCUACAAGUAGCAGGGGCCCUAAAGCUCUCUGAGAAGAUCUCAUACUGUGUCUCCUACAUUUCAUCUUCUAUAAUCUCUUAUUCUUAGAGACAGAAAGAUGGUUAAAAGACAUCACUUCAUUUCUUUCUCUGGAUUUGGAAAGAGUUAUAUAUUGGGAUUAUGCUGUUAGUUUACACUUGCAUUGUUUAAAUUAGAGGAAAGGUUAUUUUGUGCAGAACAAAUAAAAAUUACUCUUUAACUACCUUUCAGAAUAUCCCAACUUUUAACAUAAGCUGUUUUGUAAAGGCUGGUUGUAGUGACUUGCUUCAUAAUAGACUAUUAAAAUAAGAUGCAUUGAAAUCUUGUUCUUUUCUUUGCAAUACCAUGUAUCAGCUUUGUUUUGAGAGGCAAACUCAAUUUUCCCCUGAAAUUAGGAAAUUACUGUAAGGGACUGGAAUGACACACAAGAAAAGAUUACAUCAUAGCAGGGAGACUAGCCAGUUAGAAUGGGGAUUUCUUUACAAACACUAGACUGGACUAUGGAUUAUAAUUUACCUAGUGUUAAUAGUUGCAGUCAUACAUUAAGGACAAUAUGUAUGUUCUUUAGUUUUUUGUCACUGAGCAGAGGUAGAAACAGGGAAACAACAAAGGCCGAAUAAUUUCCAGCCAUUGCUGCUUUGUUUGCACGGAGCCCUUUGAAAUGUGAACUAAGAAUAUUUCUCAGAAGGUUUUUAGGUGAUUCAUAUACACAGUAAAGUUUCAGAAGUGCUAUAUUCGAGGGCAUAUGGAAACCCAUGGCUUUUCUGCUAGAGGAUUGUCAAAAGUCCAGAAUUUCAUAACUAAAUACCAUGAAUUUAGUAUAGUAGAGCACAGAACUAAAGGCUGUCUUGUGGCUGCAAAGAGUUGACUUCACAUAGCAUAAACUAUAGUCUAAGACAGUGACUUAGACAUAAGAGAGAAUAGAACUUGGUAACUGGGAUUGUUUUACAGCGUGAUCAUGUAUAUUUCUAUAUUAUUCUAAAAAUAUUUAUUAUAUUUAUAUAAAAAUUGUUACAACCGUGUACAAGUGUGCAUAAAUAAAUAGUGUAUUUAUGUAGUCUUUAUUUGAAUGUCAGGCCAGUUAGAGAAGCUAGACAUGUAUAACCAGUUUAGUCUUAACAAUCAAGUUCAGAAAAUAAUAUGUAGACUUCCACCUAGUUCCUUUUCUGAAUAAUAUUAUAGACUUAAGGAAGCUAAUAAGAGUCCAAGAUUCUCUGAGUGCCUUUGUGAAUUAUUUCAUCUGAUUCAUGUAUGUACCUUCAUAUAAUGGCUUUUAAUAUUGAGGAAUAUUUGGAGAUUAAAAGAUUAGAGUAAUUCUGAGCUCAUUAAAUUGUAGAUUGUCAUUUCUUAUGAGGAUUUACUUUUCUGGUACAACAUGUUCUUAUCACUAGUUAUAAUGUAUUUUUUUACUUUUGGCUUAGAUUUUGAGCCCUCUAUUCAUGACAUAUCAAAUGUAGUUCUUUAGAUAUGCUGCUUUCUAAUUAGGAAGCAGAAUGUGAUUGCCUACUAUUCUCUAGCCACGUACCUACUAGUGAAUAUAUAAAGGAUGGAAUUCAGGCCGUGGUUUAUGAAAUUCAGGCUGUGUUUUUGAGUACUUCCAAGUAUGUUUCAAGUAACUUGGUUAUGGUUUUGAAUGACUAGGAAAAUGCUUUGCUUUUUUUGAAAGGGAAAUUGUUCAAAAAUGAGAUUCAAUGGAAAACACAGAGGGUGCUAAAAAUGCAGAGACAUUGUAUAAACCUAUAAGAAAUUUUACAUGGAACCAGAAUUUUGAUGCCCCUUAAAAGGAAACCAAUGAGAUUCCUUAUUCAUUAGUACUUUGAAAGUUGGCAGUGGAAUGAGGAUCUGUGGAGGAAGGGACAGCUGGAUCUUGCACUCAGGACUUCUGCCCUCUGCUCCUCAAAGAACUCAUUAGUCACUGUUCCCACUCCCACCCUGGCACCAAGGAAAAUGUGGAUGUUUCCACCUUUCCCACCCAGGCCUAUUUAGGGCAUACAACCCUUCCUGAAUUUCCUGCAGUACAGUUGAGAUCACACUGUAGCCUCUAACAAGCAUUUACCAGAGAUUCAGCGAUGACAACAGAGAACUACAAUAUAAUGAGUAACAGAUAACCACUCCAUAGAUGUUGCAUGCAUUUCCGAGUGUAUACAGCCCAUUCUCACCUUACAGGAGAACCAGGAAAAGAGAACAAUUUGGGAAGGUCUCUUCAUUUAAUUUUUCCCACACUGCUGCCUCUUCUAUCUUUGGCUUGUUUCUUCUUCUCACUUAGGAGGAAGUGGUUCUCAGAUAAUUGACUAAUCACUUCUUCAUGGUCGUGAACUCAAGGACUUACCUGUUAUGAGGGGAGAAGCAUAAUAAAGAUUACAUCAUGUGAACUUUUGAAAUAAAAUGCCCGAAGACAUAAGAGAGACCCUUACCACUGUCACACUCAAAAGGAAAGCUUAGUAGCUACAGAGAUUUAAAAAGCAAGCAAACAAGCAACCAAGCAAACAACAAAGACCUGAAGAAAAUUCCAGAAUAAUCCUCAACCUGUGCUUUCACAUGCUAAAUUUUCAUAAUGAGAAAGAUAAACUGUGUAUCUUGUGGUGUCAGUGGUCAGUGUGGUGAUAGUAGUUGUGGUUUGGGCUGCUUUUUUCCUUGUUUAUUUUUUCCAAAUUUUAUUUGGGAAAAUUUCUGCUGUUUCCAUUGUGAACUAAAGUUACAUAUACUGGAUGAUAUAACUUUAACUCCUAAGAGUAUGUUUGGCUAUGUUUUUGGAAUUAGGUAUUAUGCAUGCCACCUUGUGGCCAUUAUUAAGAAAACACCUAACAUGAAGACGAGAAACAGGAUCAUUAGUGAGAGCAGCUUGAGCUUGGAGCAGUACUUUCCCAAGUCUGUUUCUCCAACAGCAUCCUUAGAACCCUUAGAACCUGGAUAUCACAUUUUAGUGGGAGGAGACAGACAAUAAAUAAAACAAAGUAUAGUAAGUGCUCUGGAGAAAAGUAAUGCAAAGAAGAGGGCCAGAAAGUAUCAAAAAGUUUGAAAUUACAAAUAAGGUACUCUUGGAAGACCUCACUAAGGUCACAUUUGAGCAGAGAUCUGAACAGCAUGAGAGACAACUGGGGGUGGGGGGGGGCAGAAUAAUGUUUCAGAUAUGUACAUUGCAACUGCAAAGGCCUGAGACAGGAAUUUGCCUGGCCUGUUCCAGCUUAGCAAAGAAAGAGGCCUGUGUUAAUGAUACUCAGAGAGGAAGGAGGCAAUAGUAGAACAUGAAGCCAGAAAAGUGACCAGAUGCAGGAGUGACUAAGGCUUUGUAGACUGCUGUAUAGACUCUGAGGGAAAUGAGCAGUCAUUGAUGGGUUUUUCGCACAGAAGGAUCUUGGUGUGUUUUAAAAGGAACAUUCUGUAUUCUAUGUUGAAAACAGACUGAAAAGCACAAGAGAAAGAACAGGAAGAGCAAUUAGGAGGCUGUGGUAGAUUAUUAUUCAGCAAAUAUUCACCCUACUGUCCUCCCCAUAAGAUUUCCCCAGGCCACCAUCACUGGAUUUGGCUAUUUGACUUGCUGUAGUCAAUGGAAUGUGAGUGAAAAGUGACUCUGUACCAGUGGGGAGGCAAAGCCUUAAAAGACCCAGCAAAUUUCUUCCAGCCCUUUUGUGCUUCUGCCAAAAGAAUACUGUGAGCAAUCAGUGCCCUUAAGCCUGGGCCUCAGAACGAGAGAUAUGGAGCAAACCUGAACCUGAACAGCAGCCUACAAUCAAGCCAGGAUGACCCUGCAAAGCCCAGCCAACGAUAGCAAAGCCACAGCAGACUUGUAGACCAAUGAGCAUGAAAUAAAUUGCAUUGAAAGCU